rnacentral:rRNA from 1 species
UACGUAGGGUGCAAGCGUUGUCCGGAAUUAUUGGGCGUAAAGAGCUCGUAGGCGGUUUGUCGCGUCGGCUGUGAAAUCCCCGAGGCUCAACCUUGGGCUUGCAGUGGGUACGGGCAGACUAGAGUGCGGUAGGGGUGACUGGAAUUCCUGGUGUAGCGGUGGAAUGCGCAGAUAUCAGGAGGAACACCGAUGGCGAAGGCAGGUCACUGGGCCGCAACUGACGCUGGAGGUGCGAAAGCGUGGGGAGCAAACAGG